GCCUGAUCUUCUUGUAUCCGCCACCGUGCUUGGCACAUAGCAAGCGCUUAAUCAUUUUCCCUAUUAUCAUCUAACCGAAAAACAAUGGUGACCGAGGGGAAGCUCUGACAGAGAUCGCAAUGAUCUCUUGAUGAAGAGAAAACAGAGGAUUGGAGCUGCUUAGGUGAGACAGCUGUUCGGCUUCCCCAAAACGGACUGCAUCAUUCGCACUCAGAGAUGGUUGGCACAGACAGAGCCCUGGCACUAGAUGUAGACCAGAAGUUGACAGCUUAUCGGGCGCUAGACACGACAACCCGUCCCACGGGGCAGAAUGUCAGAAAAAUAAUCUUUGUCCGAGAGAGCACCACCACCCUGAGCCUCUCCAGCCAGGAAACGUUCUGCCGUCGUGACUCAUUCUCCGAGCUGAACGGGAAAUGCGCGAAUCCGUUGAAGACGCCAUCUUGGAAAGACCCGGGAGACGUCGCAAUGGGAGAGAGAAGAGCCGCUCCCUCGUUGGGCAGUGCACCCUGGCCGGUGCCCACGUUCCUGGAGAUUCUCACAGAGUCAUGACGGUUAAUGCCGCUAAAAAAUCUCAUCACCGCUUCUGAUCACUGCAUUGUCUCCCUGUAUGAUCAGAUUGGGGAAAGGUAAGCGCUGGCUGGAAUGACCUAUUAAAGUUACAGCCCGCUGACUUCCUUCUUCUCCCACAAUAGAAACGGGAGGGUGACGGGAAUUUCGCUCCGCCGGUUCUGAGUUCAGCUGUUGGCCUUCUCGGUGGCUGUGGGGCUGGGGGACGUGGAUAAGGAGAAGCCCCAGAUAAUUCCCAAACCUUGACCUCCUCUGAGUCCUUCGCCUGGGGUAUUUAGCAUCCAUCAAUAUCAGUCACCUGUGCUAAUCGAGGGCUGACUGAGUGUCGAGCAUAAUACUAAGCGCUUGGGAGAGAACGAUAUAACAGAGUCGAUAUCAUCAUCAUCAUCAUCGAUGAUAUUCAUCGGGCGCUUACCGUCUGCAGAUCCUGUACUAAGAGCUUGGGAGAGUACAAAACGAUAGAGUUGACAUCAUCAUCAUCAUUAUCAACAAUGGUAAUUAUUCAUUCAUUCAUUCAAUCGUCUUUAUUGAGCGCUUACUGUGUGCAGAGCACUGCACUAAGCACUCGGGAGAGUACGAAAUAACAGAGUUGAUAUUCUCAUCCUCAUUAAUGGUAUUCAUUGAGUGCUUACCAUGUGCAGAGUCCUGUCCUAAGCACUUGGGAGAGUACAAAAUAGCAGAGUUGAUAUUAUCGUCAUCAUCAUCAGUGGUAUUUAUUCAAUGUUUACCGUGCGCAGAACCCUGUAUCAAGCACGGGGGGGGAGUACAAAAUAACAGAGUUGAUAUUAUCAUCCUCAUUAACGGUAUUCAUUGAGUGCUUACCAUGUGCAGAGUCCUUGUACUAAGCACUUGGGAGAGCACAAAAUAGCAGAGUUGAUAUUACUCAUUCAAUAGUAUUUAUUGAGCGCUUACUAUGUGCGGGGCACUGUACUGAGCGCUUGGAAUGUACAAAUCGGUAACAGAUAGAGACGGUCCCUGCCCUCUGACGGGCUUACACACCUCGAUUCUAUUUUUUUGCUAUUGUUUUAAUGAGAUGUUCAUCCCCUUGAUUCUAUUUAUUGCUAUUCAUUCAUUCAGUGGUAUUUAUUGCGCACCUACUAUGUGCAGAGCACUGUACUAAGCGCUCGGAAUGGACAAAUCGGUAACAGAUAGAGACGGUCCCUGCCCUCUGACGGGCUUACACACCUUGAUUCUAUUUAUUUGCUGUUAUCGUCAUCAUCAUCGAUGGUAUUUAUCGAAUGCUUACCGCGCGCAGAACCCUGUAUUAAGCACGUGGGGGAGUACAAAAUAACAGAGUUGAUAUAAUCAUCAUCAUUAAUGGUAUUUUUUGAGUGCUUACUGUGUGAAGGGCACUGUUCUAAGCUCUGGGG
rnacentral:lncRNA from 1 species